AGCGAACGCUGGCGGCAGGCCUAACACAUGCAAGUCGAACGAACCCCUCGGGGUUAGUGGCGGACGGGUGAGUAACACGUGGGAACGUGCCGUUAGGUUCGGAAUAACCCAGGGAAACUCGUGCUAAUACCGAAUGUGCCCUUCGGGGGAAAGAUUUAUCGCCUUUAGAGCGGCCCGCGUCUGAUUAGCUAGUUGGUGAGGUAAUGGCUCACCAAGGCUACGAUCAGUAGCUGGUCUGAGAGGAUGACCAGCCACAUUGGGACUGAGACACGGCCCAAACUCCUACGGGAGGCAGCAGUGGGGAAUCUUGCGCAAUGGGCGAAAGCCUGAUGCAGCCAUGCCGCGUGGAUGAUGAAGGUCUUAGGAUUGUAAAAUCCUUUCACCGGUGAAGAUAAUGACUGUAGCCGGAGAAGAAGCCCCGGCUAACUUCGUGCCAGCAGCCGCGGUAACAC
rnacentral:rRNA from 1 species